rnacentral:rRNA from 1 species
UACAGAGGUGCCGAGCGUUAGGCGGAAUCACUGGGCUUAAAGCGUGUGUAGGCGGACUUCUAAGUACCUUGUGAAAUCCCACGGCUCACCCGUGGAACUGCUGGGUAUACUGGUCGUCUUGAGCCACCUAGGGGCGAGCGGAACAAAUGGUGGAGCGGUAAAUGCGUAGAUAUCAUUUGGAACGCCAACGGUGAAAACAGCUCGCUGGGGGUGUGCUGACGCUGAGACACGAAAGCCAGGGGAGCGAACGGG